GUACUCCCUUCGGCAGCCCAUAUUUUAAAAUUGGAACCUUUCAGAGAGGGUUAGCAUGUCCCCUAAGUAAAGAUUACAUACAAAUUGAAGAAUUUUUCCAAAUUUAG